rnacentral:rRNA from 1 species
GACGAACGCUGGCGGCGUGCUUAACACAUGCCAGUCGAACGGAAAGGCCUCUUUCGGGGGGUACUCGAGUGGCGAACGGGUGAGUAACACGUGAGUAACCUGCCCUUGACUUUGGGAUAACUUCAGGAAACUGGGGCUAAUACCGGAUAGGAGCUCCUGCUGCAUGGUGGGGGUUGGAAAGUUUCGGCGGUUGGGGAUGGACUCGCGGCUUAUCAGCUUGUUGGUGGGGUAGUGGCUUACCAAGGCGUUGACGGGUAGCCGGCCUGAGAGGGUGACCGGCCACAGUGGGACUGAGAUACGGCCCAGACUCCUACGGGAGGCAGCAGUGGGGAAUAUUGCACAAUGGGUGGAAGCCUGAUGCAGCAACGCCGUGUGCGGGAUGACGGCCUUCGGGUUGUAAACCGCUUUCGCUCAUGACGAAGCUUUGUGUGACGGUAGUGGGUAAAGAAGCACCGGCUAACUACGUG